UGCUCAAAUAUUUCUCUUCAAUUGUCGAAUAAAUUUUUCGCUUUUUACUAAAGAUUUUCGUGAAGAGCAACACUCAAAUGAGUCUUAAAUAAUUUUUGUAAACAAUUUUAAGCUCUU
rnacentral:snRNA from 1 species